rnacentral:tRNA from 1 species
GGGUAUAGCUCAGUUGGUAGAGCGGCGGUCUCCAAAACCGCAGGUCGAGGGUUCGAACCCUUCUGCC